UACGAAGGGGGCUAGCGUUGUUCGGAUUUACUGGGCGUAAAGCGCACGUAGGCGGAUCGUUAAGUCGGGGGUGAAAUCCUGGAGCUCAACUCCAGAACUGCCUUCGAUACUGGCGAUCUUGAGUCCGGAAGAGGUGAGUGGAACUCCUAGUGUAGAGGUGGAAUUCGUAGAUAUUAGGAAGAACACCAGUGGCGAAGGCGGCUCACUGGUCCGGUACUGACGCUGAGGUUGCGAAAGCGUGGGGAGCAACAGGG
rnacentral:rRNA from 1 species